CCUUCGAUAGCUCAGUUGGUUAGAGCGGAGGACUGUAGAUCCUUAGGUCGCUGGUUCAACUCCGGCUCGAAGGA